rnacentral:rRNA from 1 species
AUUGAACGCUGGCGGCAUGCCUUACACAUGCAAGUCGAACGGCAGCACGGGGCAACCUGGUGGCGAGUGGCGAACGGGUGAGGAAAGUAUCGGAACGUACCAUUCAGUGGGGGAUAACGUAGCGAAAGUUACGCUAAUACCGCAUAUUCUCUACGGAGGAAAGCAGGGGAUCGCAAGACCUUGCGCUGAUUGAGCGGCCGAUAUCAGAUUAGCUAGUUGGUGAGGUAAAGGCUCACCAAGGCGACGAUCUGUAGGGGGUCUGAGAGGAUGAUCCGCCACACUGGAACUGAGACACGGUCCAGACUCCUACGGGAGGCAGCAGUGGGGAAUUUUGGACAAUGGGGGCAACCCCGAUCCAGCCAUGCCGCGUGAGUGAAGAAGGCCUUCGGGUUGUAAAGCUCUUUCGGCCGGGAAGAAAUCGCAUGGGUUAAUACCCUGUGUGGAUGACGGUACCGGAAUAAGAAGCACCGGCUAACUACGUGCCAGCCGCCGCCGUAAAAC